AAUAAACUCAAUUGUCAAAUAAAAAGUUUUAUUUGACAAUACGUCCAUCAUGUCACUGAGCUCUGACAGCCGCAGCUCUAGCCAAUUUGCUGACUUUGACUGGAAUGUUAUAUUUACAAAGACAUGUUUUAUUUCUUUUUCUGCCGUACUCCCCAACAGCCAGACUAUCUGCAGUUCUGUUGCCAUAUUUAUGAGUUACGGUUAUGUUGGCCAUACAAAACACAGAGCCAUGUUAACCAGUCGGCCUCUGAAGGAGAGAGACACUGACAGACUGCCUCCAUCUCAAGUCGAGCAGCUGUUGUUGUAACUACCCCUGCUUAUCUCUGCACUUCCUAGUUUGCUAUAUCAAACUGAGAUGAAUUCAGAGAAGAAUUUAUUUAAGUGUUUCUAAUCUAGACGCACCACAAACACACACAUUUAUAAGCCCGAUGUGAAUGGCUCUAUGUGUGCAUCUAUCAUCACAGCUUCUUCACAUCUGUCCUCCUCUUUUACGUCCUAAUCCUCAUCAUUCAGCACAGCGCUCUGUGUGUGUGUGUGGGUGUGUGUGUGUGUGUGUGUAUUCAUCAUUAGUCUUUUUAAUUGGUGGCCAAAAGGUAUGAGAUCCUACUCAACACCUUGUACCCAUGUGGAAUGAUUUAUAAAUGUUUAUGAAUAAAUACUGUAUGUGUUUGCA
ensembl:lncRNA